rnacentral:rRNA from 1 species
AGAGUUUGAUCCUGGCUCAGAUUGAACGCUGGCGGCAUGCUUUACACAUGCAAGUCGAACGGCAGCACGGGCUUCGGCCUGGUGGCGAGUGGCGAACGGGUGAGUAAUGCGUCGGAACGCGCCGAGUAGUGGGGGAUAACGCAGCGAAAGCUGUGCUAAUACCGCAUACGUACUGAGGUAGAAAGUGGGGGACCUUCGGGCCUCACGCUAUUCGAGCGGCCGACGUCUGAUUAGCUAGUUGGUGGGGUAAAGGCUCACCAAGGCGACGAUCAGUAGCGGGUCUGAGAGGAUGACCCGCCACACUGGGACUGAGACACGGCCCAGACUCCUACGGGAGGCAGCAGUGGGGAAUUUUGGACAAUGGGCGCAAGCCUGAUCCAGCCAUGCCGCGUGUCUGAAGAAGGCCUUCGGGUUGUAAAGGACUUUUGUCCGGGAGCAAAGCCUACUUGUUA